rnacentral:rRNA from 1 species
UUUAAAUUGAGAGUUUGAUCCUGGCUCAGGAUGAACGCUGGCGGCGUGCUUAACACAUGCAAGUCGAGCGAUGAAGUUUCCUUCGGGAAAUGGAUUAGCGGCGGACGGGUGAGUAACACGUGGGUAACCUGCCUCAUAGAGUGGAAUAGCCUUCCGAAAGGGAGAUUAAUACCGCAUAACGUUGAAAGAUGGCAUCAUCAUUCAACCAAAGGAGCAAUCCGCUAUGAGAUGGACCCGCGGCGCAUUAGCUAGUUGGUGGGGUAACGGCCUACCAAGGCGACGAUGCGUAGCCGACCUGAGAGGGUGAUCGGCCACAUUGGGACUGAGACACGGCCCAGACUCCUACGGAGGCAGCAGUGGGGAAUAUUGCACAAUGGGGAAACCCCUGAUGCAGCAACGCCGCGUGAGUGAUGAAGGUUUUCGGAUCGUAAAGCUCUGUCUUUGGGGAAGAUAAUGACGGUACCCAAGGAGGAAGCCACGGCUAACUACGUGCCAGCAGCCGCGGUAAUACGUAGGUGGCGAGCGUUAUCCGGAUUUACUGGGCGUAAAGGGAGCGUAGGCGGAUGAUUAAGUGGGAUGUGAAAUACCCGGCUCAACUUGGGUGCUGCAUUCCAAACUGGUUAUCUAGAGUGCAGGAGAGGAGAGUGGAAUUCCUAGUGUAGCGGUGAAAUGCGUAGAGAUUAGGAAGAACACCAGUGGCGAAGGCGACUCUCUGGACUGUAACUGACGCUGAGGCUCGAAAGCGUGGGGAGCAAACAGGAUUAGAUACCCUGGUAGUCCACGCCGUAAACGAUGAAUACUAGGUGUGGGGGUUUCAACACCUCCGUGCCGCCGCUAACGCAUUAAGUAUUCCGCCUGGGGAGUACGGUCGCAAGAUUAAAACUCAAAGGAAUUGACGGGGACCCGCACAAGUAGCGGAGCAUGUGGUUUAAUUCGAAGCAACGCGAAGAACCUUACCUACACUUGACAUCCCUUGCAUUACUCUUAAUCGAGGAAAUCCCUUCGGGGACAAGGUGACAGGUGGUGCAUGGUUGUCGUCAGCUCGUGUCGUGAGAUGUUGGGUUAAGUCCCGCAACGAGCGCAACCCUUGUCGUUAGUUACUACCAUUAAGUUGAGGACUCUAGCGAGACUGCCUGGGUUAACCAGAGGAAGGUGGGGAUGACGUCAAAUCAUCAUGCCCCUUAUGUGUAGGGCUACACACGUGCUACAAUGGCUGGUACAGAGAGAUGCAAUACCGCGAGGUGGAGCCAAACUUAAAAAACCAGUCUCAGUUCGGAUUGUAGGCUGAAACUCGCCUACAUGAAGCUGGAGUUACUAGUAAUCGCGAAUCAGAAUGUCGCGGUGAAUACGUUCCCGGGUCUUGUACACACCGCCCGUCACACCAUGAGAGUUGGCAAUACCCGAAGUCCGUGAGCUAACCGCAAGGAGGCAGCGGCCGAAGGUAGGGUCAGCGAUUGGGGUGAAGUCGUAACAAGGUAGCCGUAGGAGAACCUGCGGCUGGAUCACCUCCUUUCUA